UCUUUGUAUGUUCCCACAGCAACUGUUUUAACAUCAUAAACAAUUAUUCUUACUGUCACAUGAGUGGGAUAUAUGUAAUUUAAAAGUUGUGAAAUGAGUGAACUUAAAGAAAUUCCACUAGAUCAAGUAAUCAGAAAGGUUAAAACAUGGAUGAACGACGCAGAAUAUGAGGAAUCCAAUGAUAUGUAUAGCGUGUAUUUUACCGACCAUUAUGACACAACUAUAAAAAUACCAGAAAAAAAGACCAAUACACAAGGAGAAAAGAAUUGGUUGAUGAAAGAUUAUUAUGUUAUAUUCUUAGUACUACUCAUGUUCUUUGUUAUAUAUUUUAUUAGUACAUAAAUGUAUUUUUGAUGAACAGAAAUGGUUUUAUAUUAAUAAAUUCUUGUAUAAAA